CUGGGAUUAGAUACCCCACUAUGCUUAGCCCUAAACACAAAUAAUUAUAAGAACAAAAUUAUUCGCCAGAGUACUACCGGCAACAGCCCGAAACUCAAAGGACUUGGCGGUGCUUUAUACCCUUCUAGAGGAGCCUGUUCUAUAAUCGAUAAACCCCGAUAAACCUCACCAAUCCUUGCUAAUACAGUCUAUAUACCGCCAUCUUCAGCAAACCCUAAAAAAGGGACAAAAGUAAGCUCAAUAAUAACACAUAAAGACGUUAGGUCAAGGUGUAACCUAUGGAGUGGGAAGAAAUGGGCUACAUUUUCUACCCAAGAAAAUUUAAUACGAAAGCCAUUAUGAAAUUAAUAGCCAAAGGAGGAUUUAGCAGUAAACUAAGAAUAGAGUGCUUAGUUGAAUCAGGCCAUGAAGCACGCACACACCGCCCGUCACCCUCCUCAAGUAAAUAUGAUAUACUUAAACCUAUUUACAUAUAUCAACCACACGAGAGGAGACAAGUCGUAACAAGGUAAGCAUACUG
rnacentral:rRNA from 1 species